UUUAUUUUUUAUUUGUUUUUAUCUUUUAACUCUGCAUUGUUGGAAAAGGACAAGUAAGCAUUUCACUGUUGUUUACAGAGCAUGUAAAAUAAUAAAUGGAUUAGAUAUCUUAUCCCAUCUUUAUUUCCCUUAACUGUGCUCUCAGUAUAGAAGCCUGGCAGUGUUGGCUGUGGCCAGAGGCAACAAGGAUGGCUCUUUCCUCAUGUCCAAUGCACUUCAGAAGUUGAAAAAAGGGCAGCGAUGUGUCUCUUGGAACCCUUUUCCCCUUGACCACUGGACUGACCCUUUGAACAAGGUGGGAGACGCCCCUUCCUCUCGCCUCCUCAGUGUCUGCUCCAAUCACAGCAGUGUUUCCUGCCUGCUCGGCCACGUUGUGCAGCGUGCUGUGGAGAUGCUGAAAGCAAGGGCCUACCUGCACUGGUACCAGCACUAUGGUGUGGAGGAGCAGGACUUUCAGCAGGCUUUGGACGCAUGCUCAGCUGUCAUGCAGGAAUAUAACACUCAGUGACAUCCUGUUAGGGCUGCUAAUAAAAAGUCAAGCAGCUGUCUGUCAUAUAUGUCUGAAGAAUGAUGGCAGUGUUGGAAUGGAAACCAGUCAUAAGGUCAACUUAACACUUGUGUGAAGUGAACAUGAUGAAGCACUAUGGACUUCAAUUCAGAGCCAUAGAAGUAGGUUAUGGCUUUGCUUCAAUGGUCAUUGUACAGUCAAAUAUUCCCAAUUGUUUUUUUUAAUAGUUUUUUAAAUCCUUUUUCCUGUCUCAGGUGUUGGAUGAUAUUAAAUAUUUAAUUUGUAAUAAAAUGUGUAUUUCAGAUGUCUCACAAAUGAAUAGCCCAUAAAGUAAACCAUCUCCCCCAAAGGACAUGGGCGGAACAAUCUCCAUAUUUUGUUCUUCAGUCACUCUGAGAAUGUGCUGUGGCGGGCAGGCCGCAAGCAAUGUUGGCAGUUGAGGAAUGUUGGGACAGGGAUACAGAAAGGUGGAUUUCUGAGGAGGAAUUUGAGGGAGAUGGCGAUAAAAAAUGGAGAUUGGGUGUUGAAGAAGGUUGGUGUCAAGUGUGAACAGAGUGAGCUGCGUUCUGGAGUGUGUUAUUUCAUAGUUGUGAUGGCUUCCCUAUUAUUCUACAAUGUAGAAAAUAGUAAAAAUAAAGAAAACCCCUUGAAUGAG